rnacentral:precursor_RNA from 7 species
UGUCCCUGUCGCUCCUGGGUGGCAGCUGUAGUGCAUUGUAGUUGCAUUGCAUGUGCUGGCAGUAACUGUGCAAUGUUCCUGCAGUGCAGUACAGAGGCGCUUUCUAUUCGACAGAGCAGGU